rnacentral:lncRNA from 1 species
UGGCCAUUGAGAUAUCUUUUAUUUUGAGCCUGUUCAUAAUAAUUUAUAAGCCACCAAACAGCUAUCAUAUUACCACUCUAUAAGAUAGAACUCCAAGUUCUCAUGAUCAAGGAAAACUGAAAACAGACUCAAGCAAAAUCAACACAGAUUAACACCAUCAACCAUCACACACACACAAGUAUAGCUUGGUGUCCUAAACUCGUAAUCACAAAUGCCCUCAGAGAAAAAAUAUUUAGUCUUCUUUCCCCAACAGAGUGAGAAGGAACUUCUUGUAAUCCAAAACAGGUUAUAUUACAAUUAUAAUUUACACAUCCAGUCACAACACAGUCAGACAAACCAAUCACUACACAAAAACUACAAAUCUAAAAUA